CGGGGCAUAGCUAAACCUAAGAAUAGCACCUCCCUUACACCGAGAAGUUGUCCGUGCAAAUCGGAUUGCCCCGA
rnacentral:tRNA from 1 species